UCCUCCAUUUUUGACAGGACCAAGGGGUGCCAACCCCUGGAUAAUGUUAGAGGGGCCCGCCCCCUCUUGUGGCAUGGCAUGGAGGGGAGAGAGAGAGGAGCCAUGCCCCCUCUCUUGAAUGAAAACCUUAGAAUGGGGUGCCAAGGGUUGGCUCCCCAACCACUUGCCCUAUAAUGCAUGGGGCGCCCACUCAGAUUGCCUUGCGCCCCAUAUGCUUACCAAAAGAGAUUGAUAUCCUACCAAUUAAGUCUGAUUUUAGUAGAAAAAAAUUAAACUAAAAAGGUAGAAAUCAUUAUGAGAUAUGGAUGUACCUUUUUAAGUUAAUUGAAUUCCUGAUUUGAAUCAAUGAAGGACUUAUAUAAAGAAAAGAUCUCUUAGGGUUUCAGAAGUCAAAGUUUUAUUGAUUAAAAAUCAGAUCUCUAUCCC
rnacentral:lncRNA from 1 species